AGCGAACGCUGGCGGCAGGCUUAACACAUGCAAGUCGAGCGGGCACUUCGGUGUCAGCGGCAGACGGGUGAGUAACACGUGGGAACGUACCCUUUGGUUCGGAAUAACGCUGGGAAACUAGCGCUAAUACCGGAUACGCCCUUUUGGGGAAAGGCUUGCUGCCGAAGGAUCGGCCCGCGUCUGAUUAGCUAGUUGGUGGGGUAAUGGCCUACCAAGGCGACGAUCAGUAGCUGGUCUGAGAGGAUGAUCAGCCACACUGGGACUGAGACACGGCCCAGACCCCUACGGGAGGCAGCAGUGGGGAAUAUUGGACAAUGGGCGCAAGCCUGACCCCGCCAUGCCGCGUGAGGGAUGAAGGCCUGAGGUUUGUAAAGCUCUUUUGCCCGGGACGAAAAUGCCGGUACCGGAAGAAGAAGCCCCGGCGAACUUCG
rnacentral:rRNA from 1 species